AAUGUUGUUAAAUUGGUUACAUAUAUUUAUAUCAUUGACAACAUUCUAUUGUAUUAAAUAAUCCUUUAAUCAACUUGAUAUGAAAAUUGAAAAUUGAUUAAAAGCAUGCUGAAGUUGUUUGAAUUCAGAAAUUGAAAGAGUACAAAAUUGGUUGAAAGAUUAAAUUAAGUAACAGAGAUGCAAAAUGUUAUUCUCAACGACCUUGCAGAAAUAAAAGUUCUUUUAAAAGAAGUUAUAGAAAUUAAGUUUCAAGCUACUGGGGUGAAGUUGCUAGAAUCAGUGGACGAAGUGGUUACACUGGAUAAUAAACUUAAAGAUAAAACCGAGUAUACUAAUUUGCUUGAUAGUUUGAAAAAGAUUGGUGGUGGAAAGCCAAGAGAACAUGUUUUUUUGAUCAUGAAAAGUUACAGUCCAAAUUUAAUCGAAAAGGAAAUGGGGAAAAGAUAAGCAUAGAAAAUCUAGUAAAUAUAUGGAGUGUUAUACGAGAUAUCGGCGACGUGGAAGAAAAUGUUGACGGCGAUGAAGAAAUAUAGUUUCUUAUGUAUAUUUUUGUGAAAUAAAAAUUAAGUAAUGUUAGUUAAAA